rnacentral:rRNA from 1 species
AGAGUUUGAUCAUGGCUCAGAACGAACGCUGGCGGCAUGCCUAACACAUGCAAGUCGAACGGGACCUUCGGGUCUAGUGGCGCACGGGUGCGUAACGCGUGGGAAUCUGCCCUUAGGUACGGAAUAACUCAGGGAAACUUGAGCUAAUACCGUAUAAUGACUUCGGUCCAAAGAUUUAUCGCCUAAGGAUGAGCCCGCGUAGGAUUAGCUUGUUGGUGAGGUAAAAGCUCACCAAGGCGACGAUCCUUAGCUGGUCUGAGAGGAUGAUCAGCCACACUGGGACUGAGACACGGCCCAGACUCCUACGGGAGGCAGCAGUGGGGAAUAUUGGACAAUGGGCGAAAGCCUGAUCCAGCAAUGCCGCGUGAGUGAUGAAGGCCUUAGGGUUGUAAAGCUCUUUUACCCGGGAUGAUAAUGACAGUACCGGGAGAAUAAGCUCCGGCUAACUCCGUGCCAGCAGCCGCGGUAAUACGGAGGGAGCUAGCGUUGUUCGGAAUUACUGGGCGUAAAGCGCGCGUAGGCGGCUUUGUAAGUUAGAGGUGAAAGCCCGGAGCUCAACUCCGGAACUGCCUUUAAAACUGCAUCGCUUGAAUCCAGGAGAGGUGAGUGGAAUUCCAGGUGUAGCGGUGAAAUGCGUAGAUAUCUGGAGGAACACCGGUGGCGAAGGCGGCGUUCUGGACUGCAACUGACACUGAUGAACGAAAGCCAGGGGAGCAAACGGGAUUAGAUACCCUAGUAGUCC